AGGUCACAUUGAGGGCAAUUCCUUAGCAUUCCAUUAUAUCUCUCCUAAGAUUCGUAUAAAGAUUCACCAUUAUUUAGUUGGAAGUUAGUUAUGCUCUUCUUAAGUUU